UCCGGUAUGGUGUAGUGGCCAACAUCGCUCGCUCUCAUUGAAGAACCGAGCAGCCCUGGGUUCGAUUCCCAGUACCGGAG
rfam:Ophiocordyceps sinensis CO18 unplaced genomic scaffold OCS_Scf_189, whole genome shotgun sequence.